CUGACGAAUGUCCGUAUGACUACAUUGAUUCGUGAGGUCCCGGGUUCGAGUCCUGGCAGUCUUUGAUGACUGUAGCUCGGUUGGUAGAGCUCGCGAGAUUGUCAUGCAAAUCUUUGUCGUCGGCUU
rnacentral:Y_RNA from 1 species